CAGAGGGAGAAGCAGGCUCCAUGCACCGGGAACCCGAUGUGGGAUUCGAUCCCGGGUCUCCAGGAUUGCGCCCUGGGCCAAAGGCAGGCGCCAAACCGCUGCGCCACCCAGGGAUCCCCAGGCUGGGUUUCUGCAGUAGCUCCCUGCUGAUGCUGGGCCCUGGGCUGGCGGUUCUCCUCUCCACCCCAGCCUUGGUCUCCCCCAGGACAUCCCAUACAGGUCUCUCCUCACCUCUGUGAGGGGUCCCAUCACUCUCAUAUAUAUGACCUGGCCUUUCAUAUACACUUGUUCUGUUCCUCGGUGGUUUCCGCCUGCCAAGCUCCUACUCACCCUCAAGACCCCAGUCCCAUAGCCCCUGCUCUGGAAAGCUGCCUGGAACCACAUGCCACCCCUUCCUGGGACCCUUACACUUCCUGCACGCGUGGAGGGGGCUCAGCCCUCCUUGUGUUCCACCCCUGGGGCUGCGAGGAUUUGUGUGUAGACCUGUGUACCCCAGUGGCCCGCUGUAAGGCGUGCUUCUACCUGGGGAGCCAGCCCGCGCGCACGUGUUUGAGCAACUGCAGCAGCUUCUAGGAACAGUACUUCUGAGCACACAGUCCACUAGGUUUUGUUGCUUUGCCGUGAGGAUGCCAGACGCCACACACCUGCAGCCUUACCACGACCAGGGGAGGAUGAGGAUGGGGCUAUGUUCUUUGGGCUGCCCGGGUAGCCCCCAACACCUGCUGUGUUUGCCUCCCAGCGGGUGUCAGGCUGUAGGCAGUGGCUGGGCGCCACCUGCUGGGACAGCGUUGGGGUUGCCGCAGAGCUGGCCAAGGGUCCCUGUGGUGGGAGUGAGCGGCCUCCGGAAGAGAGCCAAUGGCCUGCAAGAACCUUGACUGAGAACCUUGACUCUGGCCUUUGUGAAGUUUGUUGGCUUACUAUGAUUGGGCUGGUCUGUUUCCAGCCCAAAUGGUCUGAGUGGCACAUGUCAUUUUGAAUCAUUAUAACCACGUUGGGAGCAAGUAGCUCUCAGGUUUCGGUUGCAGAAGUCCAGCCUACUUGGGGUGGCAGUUUGCCCCGCUGAUGGAUCCCAGCAUCUCCCACCCCCGCCGUGGUUCCUCCUUCACCUCUUUGAGCCCCGGGAGGAUGCUCUUCUGGUCAGGGCAGACCCCAGGCCGGAGUCCGCGGAGCCACUUGCCGGUAACUGGUCCUAGGAGCCUGUUGGACGCCCAGAGGCUGGUCAGCAUAGAAGCAGUAGAUGGCAUUCAUGGAGGCAGUGCCUGCCCACUGUCGCUCUGGCUCCACUUUUCAGCUGUGGGCAAAGGCGUCAGCCUCUCUGGACCUCAGUCUCCUCAUCUGUAGAGUGGUGACAAUAACGCCCAGGUGUCAACUUUGCCCCCUGUGUGUGAGGCCAGGAGCCGUUGCUGAGUGAGCCUCCAGGGUGGCUGACCCCUGUGCUGGGCACGGCUGACCUGUGUUGCCAAGAGGGUGAGGCAGAUGUGGUCACAUGAUGCCGCAGGCUCGGCCACAAACUGCUCUGCAGCCCCAUCUUGUUGUCCCUUGGGUCACUCACUAGGAAAGCUAAAUGAUUGGAGACCAGCUGUCUGCAAGCGCAGGAGGGAGGAACCAGCCCUGCCUGCCUUGGCAUCCAGGACAUCCAGCCUCCAGGAUGUGAGGGAACACGCUUCUGUGACCUGAGCCACGGUCCGUGGUGCUCCGUCACGGCAACCCUGGUGAACUGACACACGUGUUGUUACUACGUUAAGCCGUCCUGUUCCAGGACCCCUUGUCGGGCAGCAGGUGACCAGCACAGCUAUGAGCAGUGGUACUGAGUCAUGAGCACCAGGCCACACUGAGUCCUUCCUGUAGUUUGUCUCCCGAGAGCAUUGGUCCCCACAGCCUGGGUGCGGGCGACGCUGCUGUCCCCAUCUCGUGGCAUCUCAGGUACUAGCACUUAGGUCCAGCCGGGCUGGAAGGAGGGACAGGCCUUAGGGUCUCUGGGCCAUGCUGGCCUGAGUGCAAACAAAAGCAUUCGGCUCCCUGGCGGGGGCGCGGACCACAGCAGCAGAGACGGAUGGAUGGACAGGUCCUCUGUACUCUCAGCAGGCCCACCUGCUUGGGGAGAAGGAAUGCCACCUCUUCUGCUCAUCCUGCCCCUGGAGCUGAAGCCCUUAAGGGCAGAGAGCCCUGUAUCCUGCCGUGUCCCUGGUGACUGACACACAGCAGGGCCCAGUAUAGACUGGACUGCUUGCCCCGCUGAUUCCAGAGCCCGGCCUGGGUCGUGCCUUUAGAAUCAGAAGCCUGCAGACCUGGGGACUGCUGAGGGCAUUGGCCCACCCAGCUUCUGUCUGACCCCCACGCACACAGCCUGUGCGGGCGGGGCGGGGGCAGGGGGUCGAGGGGCGGACAGCAGCAGAGGGAAGUGGACUGGGCUAGGCUCUGGGAGCACACUCAGGCCACACUCAGGGACGUUGUGAGUGACCCCGGGGGGGGCUGCCCAGGGCUGCUGAGAGAUGGUUUAUAGGCUACAGACUUGCCUAGAUUUCACCAGUGCCCCAGCCCCGGGGCUCCGGGUUGGAUAAACUACUCAAUCUUCCUAGGUGGUGCGGCCCCAGUGGCCGUUAGAGGGUUUAAUGAUGUGCAGCCCUCGGCCAAGGCCGUGUGGAAUCCGUGCUCAGUAACCGCCGCCACCGCUGGGACGCACAGAAACACUCGUAAACAAGCCAGAGGCAUAGGUCGCAGGCGGAGACCUGGCCUUAGGCGGUGGCGGUGGCGAGGAGGUGGCCGCACUGCCAGCUUCCAGGCGGCCCCGCCCUCCUCCUGGCAGCAGGCUUUCUGCCACCUCACGGAUGUGCCCUCCUGAAACCCAGGCCACGAAGGGGACACAGGAGGCUCGCUUUCGGGGGUUCAGCCCAUGCCUCCCGGGCCCUGGCUGUAUUUUCUCCUGUGCUAAUGUCACAGUGACGUGGCUCCUACUCCUGCUGAUUGAACAGUCUGCACUGACAGGGGCGAAGAUUUGCAGUGGAGCUUAUCACCGCCCCAGAGCAUGGGCGGGGUGGCUGGCGGGGGCGCCGGGGAGGCGGCUGUAUUUAUGGCAUGCUGGGAAGACAAACAUACGCAUUUAUAUGUCACUUGUUGCAAUAUAAAUGCUAACUUGUACUCCUUUCAAAACUUUUAAUGAAUUGUAUACAUUCCGAGAGAUUUAUAGGGUGAACGGAAUGGCUCAAAAUGUUACUUUUAACAUAUUUGUCACUUUGGCAACAGCGCCCCAAAAAAAAAAAAUCUGGAAGAUAUUGCAUUCAGAAAUAAAUCAUAAACAGGCGCAUCCUAAAAGA